rnacentral:rRNA from 1 species
UCCGUAGGUGAACCUGCGGAAGGAUUAUUAUUGUUGGGGCUUUGGCCCUGUUGAGAUAGAACCCUUGCUAUUUAUUUGCGUACCUGUUUGUUUCCUUGGUGGGCUCGCCUGCUAAUGGGGACCUUAACUUAACUCUUGUAUUAUUGUCUGUAUAGUCUGAAUUAAAAUCAAAAUUAAAACUUUCAACAACGGAUCUCUUGGUUCUGGCAUUGAUGAAGAACGCAGCGAAAUGCGAUAAGUAGUGUGAAUUGCAGAAUUUAGUGAAUUAUUGAAUCUUUGAACGCACAUUGCGCCCUUUGGUAUUCCUUAGGGCAUGCCUGUUCGAGCGUCAUUUACACCUUCAAGCUCUGCUUGGUGUUGGGCGUCUGUCCUGUCCCCCUCGGGGGCGUGGACUCGCCUUAAAGUCAUUGGCAGCCGGCCUACUGGUUUCGGAGCGCAGCACAAGUCGCACUCUUUUCCAGCCAAGGUCAGCGUCCAACAAGCCUUUUUUCAACUUUUGACCUCGGAUCAGGUAGGGAUACCCGCUGAACUUAA